rnacentral:rRNA from 1 species
UACAGAGGGGGCAAGCGUUGUUCGGAAUUACUGGGCGUAAAGGGCGCGUAGGCGGCCUUCUAAGUCGAACGUGAAAUCCCUGGGCUCAACCCAGGAACUGCGUCCGAUACUGGAAGGCUUGAAUCCGGGAGAGGGACGUGGAAUUCCAGGUGUAGCGGUGAAAUGCGUAGAUAUCUGGAGGAACACCGGUGGCGAAGGCGACGUCCUGGACCGGCAUUGACGCUGAGGCGCGAAAGCCAGGGGAGCAAACGGG